AUCCUGACACAGGGAGGUAGUGACAAGAAAUAACAAUACGGGGCUUGAAGUCUUGUAAUUGGAAUGAUGGGAAUUUAAACCCCUUCCAGAGUAUCAAUUGGAGGGCAAGUCUGGUGCCAGCAGCCGCGGUAAUUCCAGCUCCAAUAGCGUAUAUUAAACUUGUUGCAGUUAAAAAGCUCGUAGUUGAAUUUCUGCUGCAUCGUGGUUCUUCGCUAUGUCGAGUGAUCUUCGUUGUGGCUUAGUUGGGGCAUGUUUUCAUGACUCGACGUUUACUUUGAGAAAAUUAGAGUGCUUCAAGCAGGCUUUUGCCUUGAAUACUUUAGCAUGGAAUAAUGGAGUAGGACUUUGGUUCUAUUUUGUUGGUUUUAGGAGCCGGAGUAAUGGUUAAUAGGAACAGUUG
rnacentral:rRNA from 1 species